AGGCUCUUUAGGGUCUCUCAAGCC
rnacentral:siRNA from 1 species